rnacentral:lncRNA from 1 species
UCCUACAGCUCCACCAAGUCCUAUAGUAACACCACCUUCUCCAGUGAAGGCACCACCAACACCACCUUUAGUUAAAUCACCACCUAUUGUGAAAGCACCUUCUCCACCAUUGGUGAAAACACCACCAUAUCAAUCACCACCAGUGAAACCAACACCACCUAUUGUGAAAUCACCUCCUUCUCCACCAUUGGUAAAAUCACCACCUUAUCAAUCACCACCUAUUGUUAAGGCACCUUCUCCCCCUCUAGUGAAACCAACUCCACCUAUUGUGAAAUCACCUCCUUCUCCUCCUUUGGUGAAAACACCACCUUAUCAAUCACCACCUAUAGUGAAGGCACCACCAACUCCUCCACCUAUUGUGAAAACACCUCCUUAUCAAUCACCACCAAUAGUUAAACCACCAGUUGCUCCAUCUCCACCACCUACUCCAAUAGUCAAAUCAUGGAAGGGUAAGUCAAUUUCCAUUUACAUGUCUUUAAUAUGUAACAUUUUAAUAACACAUAAGACUAUGUUCAUGUUUCUAAAUUGUGGUCUCAAUAUAAUA